GAUUUCAGUCCAGUGCCCUGAAUGCCAACGUGAAAAGAUUCAUCAAUGCGCGAAUAAAUGGCGGGAGUAACUACGUCUCUCUAGGUUGCUCCACUGGCUGCCGCGGCCAUGAACAGGG
rnacentral:rRNA from 1 species